GCCCAGCUAGCCCAGUUGGUAGAACAUGGGACUCUUGAUGUCAGGAUCAUGGGUUUGAGCCCCACGCUUGUUG